GUCCACGCCCUAAACGAUGCAGGUUUGCUGUUUCGAGUAUCGACCCUCGGAGCGGCGGAGCUAACGCGUUAAACCUGCCGCCUGGGAAGUACGGCCGCAAGGCUAAAACUCAAAGGAAUAGACGGGGACUCGCACAAGCGGUGGAACAUGUGGUUUAAUUCGACAGUAAGCGAAGAACCUUACCAGGGCUUGAAAUGCUUUUGACAGCUGCCGGAAACGGUGGCCUUCUCUCAAGGACAAAAAGCACAGGUGCUGCAUGGUUGUCGU
rnacentral:rRNA from 1 species